rnacentral:sRNA from 1 species
AUUUUUGUAUACAUAAUUUGUCUUAAUGAAGAGUAUUGAAUCUUAUAUAUAAAUUAGGUAGCUUGUAAAUAUUUACUAUAUCCAACUUUGCUCUUUAUGCAGAUUGUCUGUGUCAUCAUCAAAUUUGGUCUUAUAGAUUCUUCUUAAAUAGAUCCCAUCUUCUCUAGCUCUCCAAUCCCAUAAGCCAGAAUUUUUAAAUGCUCUAAAGCUCUGACUGUGACUAAAUCCAGGCCCUUGUUUUAAGGUACACAUAAAACGCGUUGUACCAAAUAAAUUAUGAAAGAAAUAAUCUGUAAAUUGUCCUCCAUUUGGUAUUAUUGUUGGACCAAGUACAUCAUUUUUGGAAUAACACCUCAUCCAAAGGGUCUUCUUAUUUUUGAGUUCGUUGACGAUUCUGAUUCCGGCGCCAGAUACAUGGCCAAACAUGCAAAGACUAAAAAAAAUAAAGAAAAUUGUGAAAUAUUUCAUUUUUUCUGUAGAGAAAUUUUGAUUUUUUUUGUCGUGUUGACUUGUUUUUUUGUGUGUAUUUAUAACAACAUCUAUGUUGCUAUUUUUGAAUUUACAGUUUCUUGUUUUCUGUUAACAUAAAUUUUCUAUUAAAUUUUGUCCAACAGAAAAAGUUUUCUAU